rnacentral:rRNA from 1 species
AGCGAACGCUGGCGGCGUGCUUAACACAUGCAAGUCGUGGGAGAACGGGAACCUUCGGGUUCCUCAGUAAACCGGCGCACGGGUGAGUAACACGUAGGUAACCUACCCCGAAGUCUGGGAUAACCUGUCGAAAGACAGGCUAAUACCGGAUAUGACCACGAGGGUUUCGGCCUUUGCGGUGAAAGAUGGCCUCUUCAUGAAAGCUAUCGCUCCAGGAUGGGCCUGCGCGUCAUUAGCUUGUUGGUGGGGUAAUGGCCUACCAAGGCGACGAUGACUAGCUGGUCUGAGAGGAUGAUCAGCCACACUGGGACUGAGACACGGCCCAGACUCCUACGGGAGGCAGCAGUGGGGAAUAUUGCGCAAUGGGGGAAACCCUGACGCAGCGACGCCGCGUGAGUGAUGAAGGCCCUCGGGUCGUAAAGCUCUGUCGGAAGGGAAGAACGUUUGGCGGUCGAAUAGGCCGCUAGGCUGACGGUACCUUCAAAGGAAGCACCGGCUAACUCCGUG